UUUGUUUGUGUACUGCUUUGAGGUCUGUUGUGACUUAUUUAACAUCUCUUCCAGUUUCACAGGUUAAAGACUUUUUGAAGUAAAGAGGAGCAUCUCAUCUGAACCUGAUGUCAAUCAUGGACUUUUAACUGCAGUUCUGUGAGUAUCCCAACAUAACCAUGAAGCAUAUCUGCAAACUGUAAGUCAUUAAUUUCUCAUUACUCUUGGGCACAUUGUUGUAUUUUGGAUUCCUGGUGGGUUAACCUGUUACCUGAAGGUUGUUCUGAGUAAGGAUGUUUUAUUGGUUCAUGGUUUACUUAGGUGUUUGGUUUAUGUUGGUAUUAAUGAUUUGUUAAAAUGGUUACAGGCUCCAAGUUAUUGUUGUAAGCCGGAGUAAUGGGUUGGGUUCUGAUGUCUUCAGUCUCCUUUCAUUCUACUCUCCUGAGCUCUGCAUCUUCAUUACAUGAGUGUUGCGUUACUGAUGAGUGUGUGGUCUGAGUGAGCAGAGGUGCAUACUGGGAUACAGAGCUGUCUCGAGUCUACAGGUCUGUAGACGCGCCCCCUCAGGGGAAACCGAGUGUUUGAGAAACUGUCGUGACGUCAGUUACAUGGACUGGAAUGUUCUUAAAGAUGGAGACAGGGAUUCAGAAGGAGAAUCACCAGGGGGAGAUGAGGGGGCUCCUCAUCUCAACGACUAAAACACAACUUCAGUCUGACACAGAGAACCAUGGAACACAUUCAACAGUCUCCUCCAGGCAUCGUGACUCCUCAGGAACAGUUUCAUUUCCAAGAAGGUCUUAUUUGGGGCCAUCCCCAUAUGGAUCCUGCUCCUCAAGACCCAACCCCCUCCACUGGGUGGUCUUCUGAACAGAUGACCUCCUUCCUGUCCUCAGGCUGACUAAAGCUCCACCGUUUGCAUCUGUGAAGGCCCCUCAUUCAGGAAACCACUGGACUACAAAGACAUGACUACAGAGAUGUUGAAUAAACCUGGGACACUUUUUGGAGACGCCAAGCAUAAUCCAUCACCAAUGUGGGACGCCACUGAAGAAUGUUGUACUUAAUUUACGUCUCUGGAGACAUCGGUUGUUCUGUUAUGGGUGCCCUGGCAGGAGAGCUGGGAAGGUGAUGAUGGAAUGUUAUUUGCUAUGAGGUUUUUACCCUGCAUGAUUGUUUGGCCUUUUAUGGCUCAGUGGUGUGUGUGUUUGGGUUUGACAUGAGAUGGAAGGUUUUUGAGCAUAGGGUCGCUAGGGUUUUAGUGUGUGUGUGUGUGUGUGUGUGUGUCUCCCUCUCACACCUGGCAUGGGGUUCUACGUGCCUGUCCUGGGUUCUAUAUGCGUGUGUCCGGCUUGCUUUGACAGUGAUAAUGUUCAUACGGGGGUCUGUGUGAUUGGCUUGGGAUAUCGGAAUGGUCAACUAAAUCAUACCUGAUGGAUGGCCACACGUUUACUUAAGGGCCUCCAGUAGACAUGAAGAGCCCUGAGCGACGCUCCGGAGCGAGAUCCAACACACUGGGCAGGAAGGAGAGUAUCCAACUCGAGUGUAAAAGGAUGCAAGCGGCGUGUUCAGAUCAGUGACUUCAAACUAGGACUACGCCAAUCAGGAUCAAUGGAGGAUGGACACCAAAAGGAAUUUCACAAGGAGAGUCUGACGUUGGAAAGGGACCUAAAUGGAUAUUCAAGAUGACCUUCAGACCUGUAAUGAGACGGCUCUUCCUACCUGGCUGGAUUGAUGGAGAGCCCUGUGGAUCUUGUCUUGCUCUCAGUUGCACGUCUUCUCAGGCUGAACUGUAAUUGUCUCGGACAGGACUAGCUGAACGAUUGGUUCCCUUAAAUCAGAACCAAUCCGGGAACUCUAGCUAGUGCGCUCUUCAAGCUGAAGUUGUGCUCUUCAGCUAAGGUGGUAAGGAAACCUUCACUGGGGCUUCAAGAUGUAAAGAGGAGAAUGUUUCAAAGUGUUCCAUGGUACUCUGAUGAAGGCCGUUGGUGUGUUCCACUGGCUGAGAGGAAGAACCCACACAUCUUCCUCUUGGCCUUUCUCCUCUGAGAAUCCUGGCGCCAUCUUGAAGGAUAUUCCAGCUCAUGUAACUGAUGUCACGACAGAUUCACAAACACUUGGUUUCUCCUGAGGGGCGUUUCUAUAGAACUGAAGACUUCAGACAGCACUGUAUCCCAGCAUGCAUCUCUGCUCACUCAGACCACACCCCCAUGAGUAGGAUGCAACACUCUAGUGAUGGAGAUGUAGUGUUUUGGUGAUGAGGCGGUCAGGCUGACGUUGCAGGGCUAUGGUCGGCUCUCUGUGAGCUCAACGUUUAGAUUUUCUCUAUGGUUUGUACCCUGAAUAAUCUAGAUAAUUGUAAAAUGUAGACACACGGUUUUGUAUUGAAUGAUUUUAGGUUUAAAGUUGUUGUACAUGGUAGUUUGGUUCUUCGUAUGGUUUGAGUGAUUAUAACUUGUACACACUGGGUGCAUAAUAAUGUAUAGUUACACUGAAUAGUAUUAAUGACCAACAGCAACAAACCAAGAUCUCCUCAAGGUAAGUCUGUUGGCUGUAUUUUAAUGAAGACCAUCGCUGGACUUCAGGAUCUUCCUCCGUUCAGCUCAAGGUGAGGCGCUGGUUCUGUUUUUUCUUUGGUUGGUUCCGGCCGGAAUGUUCGGAUUCCAGUUGGACGGUUUGUGCUUCCCGCCGUGGAAGGUUCUGAGUGCGGUAACUUGAUUUAGUCCCAAUGGUUAGCAUAGAAAGUUGUAGUCUUGACAACCAUAAGAAAACACCUGGCCAUUAGUUGGACGGGAGUCCCCUAAGGGAAUCUGGCGGAACGUUCUGGAUUGUAUUUGCGUAACCUCGAGCCGUUGCCAACUGAAUUAUUUUUCAGUCGGUUUCCAUUGGUAAUUGUUGGGAAUUGUUGCACCUAUCUCAAACAACUUUAAGUUUGAUAUCAAAUACGUCGUACAAUAUGUUGAUAAUUUCCGAUGGUUGCGCCGUACUUUUAACCACGUUGACGGGGCUCUCGCUGCGUACAAAACGGCGUUCUACUUGCGGCCCCAUUUUGACAUCAGUGAAGGCUGAAAAUCAUUUCAAGGUGGAAGACAAUUUGACAUUUCUUCAAAGGAACCCAGCACCUGAAUAUGGCUGAGUAAAUUUGAUUUACUAUUGAUACUGCUUAGUGUUCUUUGUUAAUUCAGCUUUUGUACGUUCUAAAUAUAUGCUGUCAUUAAUUGCCACAGAAGUUGAACCCUACCAAAUAGAAUGACGUUAAAGAACGACUUUGGUGUAGAGUUACCAACUGGAUAAUAUCAAAGCUAAAAUAAUGGCCGUCAUUCCCACAUGUUACAGUAGAAGAUACUCUAGAACUCUACAAGGUAAUAUGUAGUUUGUCCCAAGGUGUCUGCCUCCUCACCCAGAGCAAAACCUCCACCUCCUCACCCAGAGCCAGACCUCCACCUCCUGUCAGAAGUCCUCCAGAACAGCUGAAAGGUGAGGCUGAGAGGCUUGGGACCGGAGGCUUGUGGUGCCAGGAUGGACCGGACACUGAGGCUGGAGACCAGGGGCCUGCAGCACCGGACGAGAGGGUAACCAUCACCAAGCUCAUCUGAAACACUAAAAUCCUCAGAGGUUUAGGUCUGGUUUUGAUCAACUUAUGACUUUACAUCUGUGCCAAGCUGUGAUUAGAGUUAAUUCAUACCGGUUUUAUGUAGGAGUCAUAUGAGCCAUUAUUGUUUCUGGUGCUGCUAUGACCGUAGUGGAUGAAUUGCUGAACGCAACAAUCUGCAGACGUUGUCUAAUUUAAGUGUUUAAAUAUGUUUCAAAUUAGCCGUGCUGAAGGCCCUGCCUGGUGGAGGAUGUCUGUCGUGGGGUAGAUGGAGCCUGACUCUGAAGUGAUCAUCACACUCACUGCCACUUCUCGUAGAAUACUGCUACCACAAACCACCGGCGUUUGUACCAUAUAUACCAGACGACUACAUCUGUUUUACCACCUGUUGCCGCAAGCCUUCCGCUGUUUGUUCCAAACCAGGACUCUGUCUGAGGAGAGCUGAUGGAGAGCUGAUGGAGGAGCUGAGUCGCUGGAGGACGAUUAGGAAUCGACCAACAAGGAUUCCUCAACGUGUUUCUGGAGCGGAGGCGAGCUGAUAGGGGAGCCGUGAAUCUGGAGGAUGACGUCACUCUACCAACAAGGAUUACGUUGGGACCAGACUGUUUGUUUCAGACCAGGACUCUGGCUGAGGAGAGCUGAUGGAGGAGCCAUAAAAGACAAAUUACGUUUGUAACCAGACCAGGAAUCUGGAGGACUGACGGAGAAGCCGUACAUCUGGAAGGCAAAUCCUGAGGACGACCAGGACUCUACCAUCAAGGAUUCCUUACACACCUGAGCUGAACCUCACCUGAUCCGGACAUCCUGCUGGUCCCGUCUCCUCAGUUCAUCUGAGCCUCUUCCUCCAGAAGACCUGCUGAGCUCAGCGGUCUGAGGCUAAUGUAUCAAUGACCUCCAGUGGGAGUGAUCUUCUUGACCCCACAUACCAGGACUCUGUCUGAGGAGAGCUGCUGGAGGAGCUGAGACGCUGGAGGACGACUAGGAAUCGACCAACAAGGAUUCCUCAACAUGUUUCUGGAGCGGAGGCGAGCUGUUAGGCGAGCCGUGAAUCUGGAGGAUGACCAUCACUCUACCAACAAGGAUUACUUUAGGGUCAGACUCGCGCUGUUUGUUCCAGACCAGGACUCUGGCUGAGGAGAGCUGAUGGAGGAGCCAAGACUCUGGAGGACGACAUCACUCCACCAACCAGGAUCCUUACCAGGAAUCUGGAGGACUGAUGGAGAAGCCGUACAUCUCGAAGGCAAAUCCUGAGGACCACCAGGACUCUACCAUCAAGGAUUCCUCAUAAGUUUGCAUUAUCUGGACAUAGUGGACAAGACACACCUGAGCUGAACCUCACCUGAUCCUGUUUGGUCGGGGGCAGGCACACCUGAGCUAAACCCGCCCUGAUCCUGACAUCCUGCUGGUCCCGUCUCCUCAGUUCAUCUGAGCCUCGUCCUCCAGAAGACCUGCUGAGCUCAGCAGUCUGAGGCUGAUGGAUCAAUGACCUCCAGUGGGAGUGAUCUUCUUGACCCCACAUGUAACCGUGUGCUUCCACACGCCUUUCCUUUACGUCCGUCACUAACCUCACUACUUCACUACUCUCUACUGCUUCCUCUUUUCUUCCUUCUCUGUGGUUCGAACCUUUACAAUGAAGGCGCGUCUUCCUGCCCUCAGAGGGUUUAGCGUUAGGGUUGAGAGUCAGGGUUUAGAGUCAGGGACAGAGCUGGUCAGGGAGGACUGCUUUACACAAACCUCUUCACUUGCUUUCGGAAUGGUGGUGACAUUUUGAAGUGAUUCAUUUGGGAAAAUGUUUUCCUCUGCUUUCCUUUGCAAAAUUGUAUUAAGCUUCUGUCAAGUGUUUUUGUUUAUAUAUUAAAA